rnacentral:lncRNA from 1 species
CACGUGCAUAUCAUGCCUCUAGCAGUUACAUUUUUAAAGCUUUCUACUUUGGGUUUGGAUUUUAUUUAAAAUUGUUUUCAAGUGUAAAUUUUUGACUUACUUUGCUGGUUUAUAUUUUCAUUACCAUUUUCCAUUUGGGCUUUUUGCCUUUUCACUUACCAAGUUCUAAGUACCUUUUAAAUACAUACCACUCAGCAUAGGGGCUGACUGUGAUACCAGAACAAAUAAGUGGCUUGAGAUUAAUUUCUUUCUGUUCCCUAGUGACAGAAAUCAGGUUCCUCCUCUUCCCAUACAAAGUGCCUCACCUAGGUUUAAAAACAUACCUGUUUUAUCAGUCGGACUCUCUCAACUAUAAAACCUAAGCUUUAUUUAAUUAUUUAGAGCUAAUGAAGCUCUCCUUUCUACCUUGAAACACACACUCUGGUCUCCUCUUAGCUUUGAUAUCAUUUCUUUCAUAUCAUUUUCUCCACGUUUUCCUGAGUGAACAUUUUAAAUAGGUGGGAUGCACUAACUUCAUUUUUGAAUUACUUAGUCUUCCUUUAAUCUACUGCUAGUUCAUCCGUCCUCACUAUUAAACUAAAAUCACCCCUUUACAUUUGUUAUGGACUUUCUUUCUAGUCAAACCCAGUCUUAAUGUUUUUCUUCUGCUGUUUUUUUGAUACUCCAUUCUCCUUGAAACUGCACAUUUCUCUAAUAUAUUGAUUCUAUUUGUAUUUUUCAAUGAUUCUUAUUUCAUUUUCCCUCAUUUUCUAUCUUGUGACAUCUUUUAAUGAGUAUUAUCUAGACCUUUUGCCUCAAAACUUCUACUCCUGUGACUUCAAUGAUCACCUGUAGUAGGGCUUCCAAAUCUGUUUCUACAUACCUGACCAGUCACCCAUAUAAUUUCUCAUAUAGCUAGUGACCUAGAGAUAAUAGUAUUUCAGUGACUCUGUGUGAAAUCAAAAAAUGUUAAAAUAUUUCCUUAUAUUCCGUUUACUUCAAAAUCACCAUUCUUUUCUCCAAAAUCAUCCUUCAGGUAUGCCUCCCUCAAAAGUCAAUCCUGAUUUAUUUUCCUACUUGGUAUGUUUAAAUCUUGGAAAAUUAUGUAGUGUAAAUUAAAUGGAUUUUUCUGUUGAUUUGUGGUUCUAAUAUCCUUUUAGAGUACAUGCAUAGUAUUUGCUGAAGAGGUGAGAAAGUGAGGCAACAUGUACUUUUAGUGACUUGUUAUUGAAUAUUUUUUCUUCAUUCUUUAAAACUUUAUUACACCUACUUUCCAUGGAGUUUGUCUGCAAAAAGUAGAAUUUAAAAUAAAUAAAAAACAAGUAGUAGAGAAAUAAAGAUCACCCGUGACUACUUUCAGAGAGGGUUAAGUAACUGCUGGAAUAAGCCGAAAACAAAGCAAGCUAUAAAUUAAUAAAACUAUAAAAACACAUUCUGGCGAAGCAGAAUUAUAGCCAUUAAAAAAUAUCUGGAAAGAAUGAAUGAGGCUUUAACUUUUCUCAAGUCCUUAUCCACUGUGGUUUCUGACAUGGUAAUAGGUUACGUAUUGUUAUAUUUUUAACACUGCUCUCAGACCUUAUCCAAAGGAAAUGGUAAAGAUGUUGCAUAUUUUUUUCUAAUACUUUCAAGAGUAGCUUUCUCUUAAAUUGCAUCUUUUAGACUCCUCGUUCUAACCAAAUCCAAGAUUCUAACAAGCCUCUGUGUGUUGAUAUUACAUGUAUAUAGCACUAUGUUCUUUUCAGAGCUCUUUCAUAUCUUUUUUCUUACAUGAUUUCCCAUAAUCCUGUGAGUCAGACAAGGAGGGUGGUAGAAUCCUCAUCUUGAAGAAGGAGAGGCAUGGAGAAGUUGAGGGACUUGCUGAAGAUCACAUAUUUAGUAAAUAGUUUAAUUGGAGCCAGACCUAGUUUUUCUGUCUCCCAUAUCCUAUAUCUGUGCUCUAUCAUUUAAAAUAUCCGUUGGGAAGCCCUGUUGACUCAGGUUAGUAUGAUUAAAAAUUAAAGAAAAUGUUCACGUAGUUAAUAGUGACAAUCAAAAUGAUAGUGAUGGAAUAAGAUAUGGUUACCUUUAAGUUGGUACCUGAAAUAUUUUAAAUGGGAAAUGAGCACUUGUAAAAUAUUUUGGAGCAUAAUUUUUACUUAAUUUUUCUGUUAAAAUUUAGUCUUCUGUGAUCAUUCCAAUAAAAAUACAACUGAUGCAUUAUCAGUAGAUUAUUUAUCAAUAAUAGAGAGUAAUGUAUUUGAGAUUUGAAAUAAGAACAGUUUUUUAAAGUAUUAGAUACCAGAUAUAUUGCUUGAAAUUGUUAAAUAACCAUCUUUACUGUAGUACAUAACAUGUAAAUGACUGAUUUUAUUUGUGUGCAUUUUUCUAUGCCUUUUUUAUUUGUUUAGGCUAAUGACGUGAUUAUUUUCUCUAAAAAUUCAUGAGAAGGAAACAAAAUUCACAUCAGAUCUUCUGAAUUGUAGUUUGGAAAUAACACAGUGCAAUGUUAAAAUAGAUAGGAAGUGACUGCCAAAACACAAUAGAAGUGACUUAGGAAACUUCAAACAUAGCCUGAUGAAUCCUUUGUGAUUCUUAGCCUUAUCAUUAUUGAAAUAUAAUUCUGGAUAUUUCAUUGGAAGGCGUGUCCCCAACUCUCUCCCAUGGCAUUUUUUUUUUUUAAGUUCUUAAAAUAAUUCUUUAUAUAAUAAUUAUAUCUUAUUUAAGAAAAUGUUUUCUUAGGUACUUGACCCCUAAGUAAGUCACUGCUCAGUAAUAGCUAAUAUUUAUUGGUUACUUCCUGUGUCAGAUACUGUACUAAUUUUAUGUGCAUUAUCUUAUUAUUCUUCAAACCAUCUAAGGUAGAUACUGUCAGUACCUUUAUAUAUGAGAAAAUUGAGUUUUAGAGAAGUUAAAAAAUACACCUAAGCUUGCAAGUAGCAGAUUUCAGGUUCAGAACAGAUUUGUUUGACUCAAGCAUCAUUGCUCUUACAAUUAGCAUAUUUUCUUUCCAGUCUUUGAAAAUGCUUAAUUUGUAAAAGUAUAUUGGUUGUUGCAUUUACUAUAUGAGACUGAGGUUUUUGAUAGUAUUUUCAAAAAUACUAUUGGGAUAUUUUAUUAUUUUGUAGGUCUUUGAUAUAAUAAAACUGGUUUAUUGUUGAUUUUUAAAAUAUUCAUACUUAUCUGUUAGGCUGUUUUUCUUUUUAAAAGAUAGAAUUUUAAAUUUACAAGUACUUAUCAGUCUUCUUUGAUAAGCAGUACGAAUCGAAUUUCAAGUUAUUUUGUAAAGUUAUUAGAUUGUAAGCCAAAGGUUACCAUAAUGUCAUGAUAUUUAAGCUCAUAACGUCUGGAAGUAGCAACUACUUGGCUCAAAUACAUCUAAGAAUAAUUAAUUUUAUUUCUCUCUUUUUUGUAAAAUCAGAUUUGAAAUAAGAUGUUUAUCUUGAACCUUUAUUUUAAGGAAACUAUAUGUGUUUGAGAAGGUAGAGUAAAAAGACUGUUAAACAUUAUUUCCUUAAAAAAAUUUAUUUUUACAUGAAAACAAAAUAUAUUUGGAGUGUGCUUCCAUCAAAAAUUUCACUUCUAUAUCUGAGGUCUACUUAUUUCAAAGUAAAAAUUUUCACUUGUCAGCUGAAAUUUCUGAUUAGAACUAAUAUUUGUGUAUUUUUGUGCUUAGUCAGAAUGUAAAUUUCACAGUGGAUUUAAAUUUAUCCUUAAUUUGGAUAAAAGCAAGGGAUAUAUUUAAAAGUUAUUAUAGGGAUGAAAGUGGUAAUUUCUGUUUUUGGGUUUUUUUUAACUACUAAUGAGAUCACGUUUGUAGUUCUUUUUACAUGUGUUUAGCACAGGCUCUAAAUUAAAAAAUACAGUGUAGUCUGUGUUGACCUUAAAAAUAUUCCAUAAAUUAAUAAAUACAUGGCAAGUUUUUCAUAGCUAAAUCUAACUCUUGUAGAAGGAAGCUGUGCCUUCUGUUUAAUUACAUUAAUUGAAAUGUGUUUAAGAGAAAUGUUUUCAGCAUAUUUUGUAUACUAAAAAACAAAAAGGAUUAGUAUUGGGCCAAUGGCCAAGAGGUAAUAUUACUACCAUGUAGACUGUUACAGUUCAAAUUGUCCCACUUCCCCCAGAGUUUUAGAAGCUAGAAGUCUGGGAGAUACUGUAUCAGCUGUAGUUGGGUGAUUCUAAGUGCUAUAAGUACUAUUCAUCUUUUAAUUGUGUGAGAUGGAACAAAUGCCAAGUUGCACAAGAUGCAUACUUUGAUUAUGUAAUGGUUUGUUUCAGGUGAAAAAUACCAGCAAGUCAUGUCUUGUGUGUUUUACUUAUAUUUCCUUGUAGAACUAAAUUAAGUAAGAUUUUGGAAAAUGAUUUGAAUUGAUUGCUGACUUGACCUGCCUGGUCAGAUAUCUGAAUGAUGGCAUUACUCAUUACUGGGUAGAUUCUAACCCAUGAUUCUAACUGUGGAAUAAAGAGUAGUAUAGACCGUAAAACUAUGUUCAGGCACUUACUCUUCGUUUAUAUUAUGUAUUACCCUCUAUCAUAACACACUUACUGAAUUUCCAAGUUGAACAGUUCUGUAACUAUUGUUGCUAUUCAUGUAAUAAAACAUGCUUAUGAUAGUAAAAUGAAUAGAAGUGCCCCCAAAUGCUAUUUUUUUUAAUUCACUUGUAACUGUUACUCUUGUAAUUGUGUAUGACAAUAAAAUUUGUAAAAAUUUUAGCAUGAAAAAUAAAAUUUGUAUCCGUC